CUUCCGAUCUCCUGGCUCAGAGUGAACGCUGGCGGCGUGCUUAACACAUGCAAGUCGAACGAGAACGGGUCUUAGCUUGCUAAGAUUGUCAGCUAAGUGGCGCACGGGUGAGUAAUAUAUAGUUAACCUGCCCUAGAGAGAGGGAUAACGUUUGGAAACGGACGCUAAUACCUCAUAUGCCUUUAAGUCAAAAGACUGCAAGGGAAACAUUUAUGGCUCUAGGAUGGGACUGUACGGUAUCAGUUAGUUGGUGAGGUAAUGGCUCACCAAGACAAUGACACCUAACUGGUUUGAGAGGAUGAUCAGUCACACUGGAACUGAGACACGGUCCAGACUCCUACGGGAGGCAGCAGUGGGGAAUAUUGCACAAUGGACGAAAGUCUGAUGCAGCAACGCCGCGUGGAGGAUGACACAUUUCGGUGCGUAAACUCCUUUUAUAUAGGAAGAUAAUGACGGUACUAUAUGAAUAAGCACCGGCUAACUCCGUGCCAGCAGCCGCGGUAAUACGGAGGGUGCAAGCGUUACUCGGAAUCACUGGGCGUAAAGAGCGUGUAGGCGGAUAGUUAAGUUUGAAGUGAAAUCCAAUGGCUCAACCAUUGAACUGCUUUGAAAACUGAUUAUCUAGAAUAUGGGAGAGGUAGAUGGAAUUUCUGGUGUAGGGGUAAAAUCCGUAGAGAUCAGAAGGAAUACCGAUUGCGAAGGCGAUCUACUGGAACAUUAUUGACGCUGAGACGCGAAAGCGUGGGGAGCAAACAGGAUUAGAUACCCUGGUAGUCCACGCCCUAAACGAUGCACACUAGUUGUUGCUAUGCUAGACAUAGCAGUAAUGCAGUUAACACAUUAAGUGUGCCGCCUGGGGAGUACGGUCGCAAGAUUAAAACUCAAAGGAAUAGACGGGGACCCGCACAAGCGGUGGAGCAUGUGGUUUAAUUCGACGAUACGCGAAGAACCUUACCUGGACUUGACAUAGAAAGAAUAACGCAGAGAUGUGAUAGUGCUAGCUUGCUAGAACUUUCAUACAGGUGCUGCACGGCUGUCGUCAGCUCGUGUCGUGAGAUGUUGGGUUAAGUCCCGCA
rnacentral:rRNA from 1 species